UACGGGGGGGGCAAGCGUUGUUCGGAAUUACUGGGCGUAAAGGGCUCGUAGGGGGCCAACUAAGUCAGACGUGAAAUCCCUCGGCUUAACCGGGGAACUGCGUCUGAUACUGGAUGGCUUGAGUUCGGGAGAGGGAUGCGGAAUUCCAGGUGUAGCGGUGAAAUGCGUAGAUAUCUGGAGGAACACCGGUGGCGAAGGCGGCAUCCUGGACCGACACUGACGCUGAGGAGCGAAAGCCAGGGGAGCAAACGGG
rnacentral:rRNA from 1 species